rnacentral:rRNA from 1 species
AGUGAACGCUGGCGGUAGGCCUAACACAUGCAAGUCGAACGGCAGCACAGUAAGAGCUUGCUCUUACGGGUGGCGAGUGGCGGACGGGUGAGGAAUACAUCGGAAUCUACUUUUUCGUGGGGGAUAACGUAGGGAAACUUACGCUAAUACCGCAUACGACCUACGGGUGAAAGCAGGGGAUCUUCGGACCUUGCGCGAUUGAAUGAGCCGAUGUCGGAUUAGCUAGUUGGCGGGGUAAAGGCCCACCAAGGCGACGAUCCGUAGCUGGUCUGAGAGGGUGAUCAGCCACACUGGAACUGAGACACGGUCCAGACUCCUACGGGAGGCAGCAGUGGGGAAUAUUGGACAAUGGGCGCAAGCCUGAUCCAGCCAGACCGCGUGGGUGAAGAAGGCCUUCGGGUUGUAAAGCCCUUUUGUUGGGAAAGAAAAGCAGCAGGUUAAUACCCCGCUGUUCUGACGGUACCCAAAGAAUAAGCACCGGCUAACUUCGUG